AUAGAUGGAUAGUUGGAUCAAAUUAUAUAUUUCAUUUCCUAAAUUUUUAGUUUAGAAACCAAGUUUAGCCAGGCGAGGGUCUUCAGGGGCCAUCAUCACAACUGGUAGAUCAGCUUGGAUGAAGCUUCCCAGUUUACCAGUAGAAGAAAAGACAGAUGGUCCUUGACUUAAGGCCACAAAUGAGCCCUACAUUUCCGUUGCUAAGUGAGACAUUUGUUCAGUGAGUUUUGCCCCAUUUUACAACUUUUCUUGACAGUCAUUAAGUGAAUCAGUGCAGUGGUUCAGUUAGUCACCCUGUUAAGUGAAUCUAGUUCCCCCAUUAACGUUGCCUGUCAGAAGGGCGCAAAAGGUGAUCACGUGUCCCCAGGACACUGCGACCGUCAUAAAUAUGAGUGAGUUGCCAAGUGUCUUAAUUUUAAUCGUGUGACCACGGGGAUGCUGCAACAGUCAUAAGUGUGAAAAAUGAUCAUAAGUCACUUUUUUCAGUGCCCGUAACUUCGGACGGUCACUAAACAAACUUUUGUAAGUCGAGGACUACCUGUGUUUGUAGCUCGGGGUUGAACUGCGAGCUCCUUGGUGCUCUCUGAGCCUGGUUGUUUCCUUGCAGAUGUUUCAUGACCAAAACUAGAGUAACAUCAUCUGUGAAUCCUUAUCAUCCCUGAUGAUGCCACCUACUUGGGUAAUGAAAUGUCUGCGAGAAAACAAGCAAGUUCAGAGAGCACCAAAGACCCCACAGCUUCUUAAGUUUUAUAGUGGGGUCUUAACACCUGCUAUAUUUUCCUGUAUGAGAACUCCAGACAUGGGUAUCACUCUAGUCUUCGGGGUUUAUGGACUGGGUUCAAACUUGUAGAGACGCCCCCUUUGCAGAAACACUCCCACUUUCAACUCAGUCCUGAGCUCAUGAGGAACGUUCUGGGUUUGCUCGUGUGUGUUUUGAAUUUGGCUGGAGUUUGGAGUUUGAUUUGUGCUUUGUUUUCUUUGGAUUCUCUUCAGAAUUGAAGCAGCUGAAUGAGUAAAUUCAGCUAUGUUUAUCUAGGCGUUUGAUGCCUUUAAUUACAUGGGAUUCCUUUGCUGAGGGAUUGUGUGUGUGUGUGGGGGGGGAGGCUAUCAGUUGGAGAUCAGCUGGGGAGCUGCACACAAUAGCACUGCAAUUAAAGGACAGUUUCCUUUUUUGUCUCCAUUUUAACCUGCUGAAUCAGGCAGUGGACUCUUGAUUGGAUUUGGAGCACUUGGUGGAAAGUGCGAGGGAGAUUUAAAUUGAGCUGCUGCGCCCACGUGGUUGCCCUUUCACAGGGAGAUUCAGAGCCAUGGGAGGAGGCCUGGGAGUAGAAUGGCCUCUACUUUAUUUGGGUUACCCUAUUAGACUCAAAAUUGUGAGUAUGGGGUGUUUUUUUUUUGUUUUGUUUUGUUUUUUGCUGGAAUAUCCACUAAUUGUGAGGGAAGGACCAAGGGCUUGAGAGCCAUAUUGGUAGCCACCCUGGGCUAGCCGGUGUGGCGGCCAUUUUGAGGGCUGGCUGGGCUAGCAAGUAUAUGGAAAAGAGGCUAUCAUAGGGCUCAGUUCUCGGCCCUCCAGCACAGCAUCGGCCUUUGGAGUGUGGCGUGAGGGGCCCGGAGCCUGGCCUGGGGCCGGGGCCAAAAGAAAACACUGCAAAAAAAGAGAGAGAGAAAAGAGGCCUGAUUUAGCCUGAAGUAGCCGGUUCCAGGCUGCAUGGCUUGAGAGAUUUUUAGCUCAGUGCAGGUGAUCUCGACCUGCAGAGAGGGAGUGCCAGCAACUUAGGGUGUUGACCCUUGUAAUUCUGCUGGGUUCUACGUAUUGUUGCUGGCUAUUGAUGUAUGUACAUAUACAUUUAUAUUUAUUAUAUGAAAUUGGUAAUAAUAAUAAUAAUAAUAAUAAUAAUAAUAAUAAUAAUAAUAAUAAUAAUAAUAAUAAUAAUAAUAAUAAUAAUAAUAAUAAUAAUAGAAAUUUAAAAAAAGAAUGGAAAUAGAUGAAUCUCAAACAGGAUUAUUAUGUGAAGGUCCUAAGAAAAUGCUGAUCAGGAUUACAAAAAGAGAGAGAGAGAGAGAGAGAGAAAUUUCAUGGAACUAUGAAAUGUGCUUACUUCUAUGUAUAUUUAUUUCUAUAUGUGUUCUAGAGAUAUGGCGUCGGACGCUUCCCUUAGUGACCAGAUGGAGCUCAAUGAUGCUUCUCAAUCUCAGGGAGCUUCCACCAAAGGCUCGAAGAGCCGUUAUCAUAAGACAAGGAAUGGCAGUUUGGAAGCGGCUGCAAAACUCAGAGCAAAAGCUUUGGCGCUUAAACGGGCUUCUAAGGUGCAGGAGAAGGCGGAAAAACGCCGUCAAAAGGUGCUGGAAAAACAGGUACAGGGGAACAUCAAGGAGGCUGCUAAGUCCAGAUCUAUUCGGGAUCAGGAGCAGUCUAUGGAAAAGGACCCAGCAGUGGAACCAGGGCCUUCUACCAGUUUUCAGACCAGGGCUCUGUUGCCCGGGUCAUCAGGGGGCGACUCCAGUAAAGGAAGGGCCAGUUCUACACCUGUCACCUUGGUAGCAACACAGGGGAAUAGGCAAACCACAGGCCCGGAGACAGAAAUUCCUGAGUUAGUGCAGCAAUGGAUCGCGGAGGCGGUUCAACGGGAGCUUGAGGCCAGCAAACGCCUCAAUAGGCAAUCUGUCCUUAGGGCAGAAGCCCAGUCACAGGAUAAGGGUCAGGUAGAAGAGGCGCCAGCAGAUGAACAUGUGGGGUCGCGUUCUGACAGUUCUGAUUCGUCCUCAGAGGCGGAGAGUUCCGGGUCCAUGGAGGAGGACCAAUGGGAAAAGGAAUUAUCUGAGGAGGAAGAUCUCAUGCCGGACCAGCCCAUGUUUAAAGGGCUGUUCAAACCUCAUCUUUUUAAACCCUUGUUGAGUAAAGCUAAGGCGGCUACUAAACAGAGGGUCUCAUGGGAGCAAGGGGGCGCCCGCCCAGAGCAGGAUCCUGUGGACCUGUGGUUUUCUGAACCAACGGAGACGAAGACGGUUCCUGCUCCUCAAUUAUUCUUGGAGAUGAUUAGGAAACAGUGGGAAGCCCCGGGCGUAUUCCCGAACAUGUCCUCCCAUGAGAGACGGUUUUUUAACACGGCUCCUGACCUGAUGGAACUCUUGAGAGUGCCUGAGGUGGAUGAGCCUGUUUUGGCCCUGGCUUCCUCUUCGGCCACCUUGGUUGAACCAGAGAAAGUUUUGAAGCCAGAGGAUAGGAAGUUGGAGCAGGCCCUCAAGAGGGCUCAUCAGGCGGCUGCCUGGGGUAUAAGGGCGGCCACAGCAGCAUCCUUUUUCACCAGGGCUGCACUCCUGUGGCUCAAACAAUUGCAGGAGAGGGUGCCAGUGACUGAUCAGAGGGCGCAUCAGGAUUUCAACAAGAUAGUGGCGGCUGUGGAAUACACGGCUGAUGCUACUAUGUCCUCAGCAAAAUUCGGGGCAAGGUCGAUUGCAUCUUCGGUCACCGCACGAAGGCUUCUUUGGUUAAAGAAUUGGCAGGCAGACACAAAGCGCAGAUGGCGAUUGGCCUCUGUGCCAUUUAAGGGUGCAAAGUUGUUUGGUGAGGCUUUGGAGCCCCUGUUGACGGAACCUAAGGAGAGGAAGAAGGUGUUGCCAGCCUUGUCAAGGAGAGGGGAUACCAAAUUUCCCUCCUCCUUUCGGAGGUCUUAUUUUCGCCCCUAUUGGGGGUCGGCCUUUGGCAGAUAUCAGAGAGGUUUUCAGGCACAGGGAGGCCAGUCUGGCCACUAUUAUCAGUCAGGGGAGGGAUCCUCUGACGGGCAGGUCCCGCAGUCAGUCACGGCGUCCUUUUCAUGGGAGGGGCAACAGCUCCUUUCACAGGCACCGCUGAUGGCAGGUAUCAGGCUCCCAUUGGUGGUUGUCUAGGGCUGUUCGCCGACCAGUGGGAGAAAACGACCUCCGAUUUAUGGAUAAGGGAGACCAUCUCAUCAGGUCUCUCACUAGAAUUUCUUGCACCCCCCACCCCCGAAGGUCUUGUUUCGUUGUCUCAGGUCUCGAGAUGCCGCAAAAAGAGAGAUCAUGGACAUCGCGGUUCGGCACUUGCUGGACAUCGGAGGUGGAGCCCGUUCCAGUUCACAAACAAUGGAGCGGUUAUUACUCAAUAUUGUUCAUCACCCAGAAGACCUCGGGGGGGGGGGCGGUGACCGAUUCUCAACCUGAAAGGCCUAAACAGGUAUUUGAAGUAUCGGAGGUUCAAGAUGCACUCCCUUCGGUCAAUCCUGGUGAAUGUCUGGCAGGGAGACUUCUUGACCUCCAUAGACCUUACGGAGGCAUACCAUCAUGUUCCGAUAAAUCAGAAACACAGAAGGUUCUUGAGGUUCUACUACGACGGCAAGCAUCUGCAGUACCGAGUGCUUCCGUUCGGGCUCACCUCAGCCCUAGGGUUUUCACGAAGAUCCUGGAGGCAUUAGGAGCACUUCUCAGGGCUCGUCCAAUAUGGAUUCAAGCCUACCUGGACGACAUUUUGGUGCAGUCAGUCUCUCACAGGCAUGCAGUAGAGGAUUUGAGGGACACAGUGCUUUGUCUGUAGGCUCAUGGCUUUUCCAUCAACAUGGGAAAGAGUCACCUCAUUCCCACAAAUCUGCUGUUACACCUAGGGGCGGUGAUAGAUAAGCUGAAGGGUCAGGUGUUCCUGUCUCCAGACAUGCUUCAGAGCAUCAGGGACCUGGUUGCUCAGAUUCGCUUGCAGAGGGCAGUUCCACUAUUGCUACUGUCAUCUCUGUUGGGCAAGAUGAUUUCCUGCAUAGAGGUGGUCCCGUGGGCAAGGUUUCAUGCCAGGCCUCUACAAUGGUUCUUGUUACCGUUCCAGAGGUUGGACAGGGACACGUCGCAGUUCAAGGUCAGGGUCGCGGGGGACAUUCUACUGUCUCUGCACUGGUGGACAUCCAAGAACAUGGAACAGGGCUGCCAUUUUUUGGAAGGGGACCGCAUCACAGUGUCAACGGACGCUAGUCUGACAGGCUGGGGGGCUCAUUGUCUGGACCAGGUGACCCAGGGCUCUUGGUCAAGGUUGGUGACACAGACGAGCAUAAAUUGGCUGGAGAUGAGAGCAACCAGGUUGGCGCUCAAACAUUUCAAGAAUUGUCUGAGGGGUCGACAUGUGCUCCUCAUGAUAGACAACAUCACGGUGAAGGCUCAUGUCAACAGGCAGGGAGGCACUCGAUCCAGGGGGCUCAUGGUGGAGGCAGAUCACCUUUGUCGCUGGGCCGAGCGCGAUGUGGUUUCCAUCAGGGCGGAACACAUUGCGGGGAUAGACAAUGUCAGAGCAGAUUGGUUGAGCAGGGCACCUCUGGAUCUUGCAGAAUGGAAACUGGAUCCAGAGUUGUUCGGGGAGAUAGUGAGGAGAUUUGGACAGCCGGUGAUCGAUCUGUUUGCGUCUCUGGCGAACCAUCAACUUCCUCAUUAUUUCUCCAGGUUCCCAGUGCCAGAAGGGGUCAACGCCCUUCGACUGCCGUGGCCCAGGGGUCUACAAUUGGCUUUCCCUCCGAUAGUCCUCAGGUAAUUGGUCAGAUUCUGCAGACCAGGGUGCAGGUCAUUCUGGUGGCAUCAUAUUGGCCCAGAAGGCUGUGGUUUGCGAAUCUGGUGCGCCUGUCGGUUGCCCCACCACGGAGGAUUCCACCUGACAGGGUGUCUCUCAGUCAGGGGCCGGUCUUUCACCCAGGGCCCCAGUGGUUGCACUUGACCACGUGGCGGUUGAGUGGAGAAUUCUAGAAGGACGGAAUUUCCUCUCAGAAGUGAUAACGACAUUGCAGGCGGCCAGAUGGCCAUCUACUACACGAAUUUAUGACUCCACUUGGAGAACUUUUGUGAUUUGGUGCACUGGUAGGAGUAUUCAGCCAACCAAGGUAAAGCUUCCGCAAUUGUUGCAGUUCUUGCAAGCUGGAUUGAAUAAAGGGCUGGCACCAGCGACAUUACGUAGGCAAGUGGCAGCAAUAGUGUCAGUGUUAGGUUGUGGGGGUAGGUUGUCCGUGACACAACACCCAGAGGUAAGGAGGUUUUUGAGGGGGGGCGACCAACUUGAGACCGGCAGUGGUUCAUCGUUACCCUACCUGGGACCUUCAGAAGGUUUUGCAGGCACUUUCCAAGGCUCCCUUUGAACUUAUUAGGACAGUCCACCUCAGUGUUUUGACCUACAAGACACUGUUUUUGGUAGCCAUCACAUCGGCCCGCAGGGUUUCGGAGCUGGCCGUGCUUUUGGUGCGAGAAGACUUAUAUGUUUUCCACUCCGAUAGAGUGGUUUUGCAUUUGGAUCCGGCCCUUGUGCCAAAGGUCAACUCCUGGUUCCACCAGGCCCAGGAGUUGGGUCUUCCGGAUUUUUGCCCUAAUCCAUCGCACGCAAGGGAGCGUGUUUGGCAUACUCUGGACGUAUGACGGGCUCUGAGGGUUUACAUCAAAAGGACUAGGGAUUUCCGAUAGACGGAGGCCCUUUUUGUGUCAUUUCUACCAUCUACCAUGGGACAGAAGCUUUCCGCUGCAGCGAUGGGCAGGUUGCUCAAAGCCACCAUAGCCAGAGCCUACAAGGCUCAGUCUUUACCAAGGCCUAGGGCUAUUGUGGCAGAUUCAACAAGGAGUGCGGCCAUGUCAACGGCCUGGGCCGCACAAGCAUCGGUGGAGGUGAUCUGCAGGGCUUUUGGCGGCUUUUGGUCGGAGAGUUCUACAGCAUGUGGUAGAGAUGCCUGAAGGACAUGACCAGACGGCUUCCCACCCAUGAGGACUGACAGCUUGGUGACCUACACAAGUGCUUUGGUGUGAUAUUGUGCAGUUAGUCUGUCGUGCCUGGUGUGCCUGGCGGCCUGGGGCUGCCAUUUCGGUGGGGAACCAAGAAGCCGGGAUUGCCUUUUAUUUGGGGACCGGAAAAUGACACAGCCACUGUGAUGCUAAACCCACCGAACCGCAGAGCCCACACCAGACCUGUCACCACUGCUGACAUCAACACUGAACAGCUGUUGGGCGGCCAAGUGGCUGAAACAAAGAUGGACACUUGUGUGAAUGCGCACUGAGUGUGACUGACAAUGGAACUCUGCUGGCCUCCCUGCUCCAUUUCUACUGACUCGGCUUAGGGAAGAAUAGAGGGUGGGGUGAGUGCAUGGGUGGCUGGGCAGGGCUAGGGAACAGUUUAAAACGGUGGAACAGUUACUGGACGGUUAGUCCUGACUUUGAAUUUCCUGUUGAUGGAUGUCAGUUCAUGCUGGUGUUUGUGAGGGAGAUUAAAAAAUACUCAAUUCGGAACUGCGUUUUGGUUUUUUUCCCCCUUAAGUUUACAUCGGAACCUGACAGGACGUCAGGACUCACCAUUUAAUUAAACAUAUGGCAGAGGAAACGGAGCCAAGCCUGGAGGCUGCAGACUUGGUGGAAACUAUGGAGCCAACGAAACCUGCCCCUCUGGAGAUCUUACUGGUGCCUUCAGAAGAUCCUUCCCAGGACAUCCGGACCAAGGAACAUCCAGGUCCCAAAAAACCCCUAGUCAGUUGGGAGGCCUCAGAAAUCUUCCAGGGUAUAGGCCCAAAAACCGGGCGAACAGGAGAGUGGUGGCUGAGUUCCUCGGGGCCUGUGGGAUAUGGGACCCCUCUAUCCCCGUUAUUCCCUCCAGGAGCCAUUUCACCCAGUGAAAGGAGCGAUGUAUCUUUGAGGGUGAAUGGAGUCUCUCCACAGCAGUAAGCAGCCCAACAGUGGAAGUACUGAGAGAAAAAUUUGGAGCUGCUAGCAUCAGAGAGCAGAGUCCUAAGAGAGGAUGAAAUGGGAAAUGGGGAAGGAGAGGUGAACCGCCCUCCUCUUGAGCAAGGGCUUCAGAACGCUUUCGAUUUGGUUAGCCCAAACCCACACUAUGAAAGGCCUGGACAGUUAGGGAGGUAGAGCAGAGACCGCACCUACUAUCCAGCUUCCCUGUGAAGAGUGAAGAGAUGGGCAGGCUGUUAAAAUAUGAGAGCCAAACCUCAACACUUUCCUGGCCUGCGGCAGUGCAUGACCAAAGAUCAUUAAGCCCUUGGGACCCACCGGCCCUGUGAGUGUCCUUUGAUGGUAGUCCAGAUAAAGUGGCUCUCUUUUUGGGCCAGGUGCUCAAUCACAUGGAC